GAUCUGUACAGGAUAGGUGGGAGCCUUUGAAGCAUGAGCGCCAGCUUGUGUGGAGGCGACGUUGGGAUACCACCCUGAUCGUAUCGGAGUUCUAACCUACUACCGUGAAACCGGUAGAGGGACCGUGUCAGGCGGGCAGUUUGACUGGGGCGGUCGCCUCCUAAAAUGUAACGGAGGCGCCCAAAGGUUCCCUCAGAAUGGUUGGAAAUCAUUCGAAGAGUGCAAAGGCAUAAGGGAGCUUGACUGCGAGACCUACAAGUCGAGCAGGGACGAAAGUCGGGCUUAGUGAUCCGGUGGUACCGAAUGGAAGGGCCAUCGCUCAACGGAUAAAAGCUACCCUGGGGAUAACAGGCUUAUCUCCCCCAAGAGUCCACAUCGACGGGGAGGUUUGGCACCUCGAUGUCGGCUCAUCGCAUCCUGGGGCUGAAGUAGGUCCCAAGGGUUGGGCUGUUCGCCCAUUAAAGCGGUACGCGAGCUGGGUUCAGAACGUCGUGAGACAGUUCGGUCCCUAUCUGUCGCGGGCGUAGGAAAUUUGAGAGGAGCUGUCCUUAGUACGAGAGGACCGGGAUGGACGUACCGCUGGUGUACCAGUUGUUCCGCCAGGAGCACCGCUGGGUAGCCAAGUACGGACGGGAUAAGCGCUGAAAGCAUCUAAGCGUGAAGCCCCCCUCAAGAUGAGAUUUCCCAGUAUGUAAGACCCCUUGAAGACGACGAGGUUGAUAGGUUCGGGGUGGAAGUGCAGUAAUGUACGGAGCUGACGAAUACUAAUCGGUCGAGGGCUUAUCCUA
rnacentral:rRNA from 1 species